AGCAACAAAUGCCCUGCUUCCAGGAAAAGCCUCUAAGCAUCAGGUAACAUCAAAUCGUACCCCAAACCGACACAGGUGGUCAGGUAGAGAAUACCAAGGCGCUUGAGAGAACUCGGGUGAAGGAACUAGGCAAAAUGGUGCCGUAACUUCGGGAGAAGGCACGCUGACACGUAGGUGAAGUGAUUUACUCAUGGAGCUGAAGUCAGUCGAAGAUACCAGCUGGCUGCAACUGUUUAUUAAAAACACAGCACUGUGCAAACACGAAAGUGGACGUAUACGGUGUGACGCCUGCCCGGUGCCGGAAGGUUAAUUGAUGGGGUCAGCGCAAGCGAAGCUCCUGAUCGAAGCCCCGGUAAACGGCGGCCGUAACUAUAACGGUCCUAAGGUAGCGAAAUUCCUUGUCGGGUAAGUUCCGACCUGCACGAAUGGCGUAAUGAUGGCCAGGCUGUCUCCACCCGAGACUCAGUGAAAUUGAACUCGCUGUGAAGAUGCAGUGUACCCGCGGCAAGACGGAAAGACCCCGUGAACCUUUACUAUAGCUUGACACUGAACAUUGAGCCUUGAUGUGUAGGAUAGGUGGGAGGCUUUGAAGCGUGGACGCCAGUCUGCGUGGAGCCGACCUUGAAAUACCACCCUUUAAUGUUUGAUGUUCUAACGUGGACCCGUGAUCCGGGUUGCGGACAGUGUCUGGUGGGUAGUUUGACUGGGGCGGUCUCCUCCUAAAGAGUAACGGAGGAGCACGAAGGUUGGCUAAUCCUGGUCGGACAUCAGGAGGUUAGUGCAAUGGCAUAAGCCAGCUUGACUGCGAGCGUGACGGCGCGAGCAGGUGCGAAAGCAGGUCAUAGUGAUCCGGUGGUUCUGAAUGGAAGGGCCAUCGCUCAACGGAUAAAAGGUACUCCGGGGAUAACAGGCUGAUACCGCCCAAGAGUUCAUAUCGACGGCGGUGUUUGGCACCUCGAUGUCGGCUCAUCACAUCCUGGGGCUGAAGUAGGUCCCAAGGGUAUGGCUGUUCGCCAUUUAAAGUGGUACGCGAGCUGGGUUUAGAACGUCGUGAGACAGUUCGGUCCCUAUCUGCCGUGGGCGCUGGAGAACUGAGGGGGGCUGCUCCUAGUACGAGAGGACCGGAGUGGACGCAUCACUGGUGUUCGGGUUGUCAUGCCAAUGGCACUGCCCGGUAGCUAAAUGCGGAAGAGAUAAGUGCUGAAAGCAUCUAAGCACGAAACUUGCCCCGAGAUGAGUUCUCCCUGAGACUUAGAGUCUCCUGAAGGAACGUUGAAGACGACGACGUUGAUAGGCCGGGUGUGUAAGCGCAGCGAUGCGUUGAGCUAACCGGUACUAAUGAACCGUGAGGCUUAACCUUACAACGCCGAAG
rnacentral:rRNA from 2 species